GACGAACGCUGGCGGCGUGCUUAACACAUGCAAGUCGAACGGAAAGGCCCUGCUUUUGUGGGGUGCUCGAGUGGCGAACGGGUGAGUAACACGUGAGUAACCUGCCCUUGACUUUGGGAUAACUUCAGGAAACUGGGGCUAAUACCGGAUAGGAGCUCCUGCUGCAUGGUGGGGGUUGGAAAGUUUCGGCGGUUGGGGAUGGACUCGCGGCUUAUCAGCUUGUUGGUGGGGUAGUGGCUUACCAAGGCUUUGACGGGUAGCCGGCCUGAGAGGGUGACCGGCCACAUUGGGCCUGAGAUACGGCCCAGACUCCUACGGGAGGCAGCAGUGGGGCAUAUUGCACAAUGGGCGGAAGCCUGAUGCAGCAACGCCGCGUGCGGGAUGACGGCCUUCGGGUUGUAACCCGCUUUCGCCUGUGACGAAGCGUGAGUGACGGUAAUGGGUAAAGAAGCACCGGCUAACUACGUG
rnacentral:rRNA from 1 species